rnacentral:lncRNA from 1 species
CCCACAGUCUGCCUCUUUAACACUGGAGUCUGCAUCUCCCUCUCUGCUGCUCCUGGAGGCAGCUCUUACCAGCCACCUCCAGGAUGAUGUGGCUCACAGACAACCAGCCCCGUUGCUGAGCACUGUGAUUUUUUUCAGCAACCAGGCAGCUUGUUCAAACCACCACAGAGCGGGGGCAGAGCCUGCGAGGAGCUGAGGUAAUCAUUUUUACAUUAACUAUCUGGCAAAGAUGUGGGCUGCAGACAGGGAGAAGGGAUACAGAGGGAGGGAGGAGAUGUGGAAAAUGACAGUGAAAAAUGAAGAAACAGUCUUUUAAAAGAAGUCCAGUGUUCCUUGGAAAGGUAUGACACUGCAGGAAGACUGAAGGCAGAGAAGGGAAGGUAGAAAGGCUGCACAUCUGCAUUCUGCACAUUUAUUUAGUUCUAAUGUAUCAUUUUGCCUUUAUCUUUCUUGUUGCUGUUUUUCAGGCCAGCUGCAAAAGUUUUGCAAAAGACUCUCACUUCCAAAGCAAACCAAAAAGUCAGAGUACAGUGGUGACUGUGGGCUAUGUGAAGCCUGACUUGAAUGUAAAAGAUCCACAGGGAAAAAAUCUUCCAGUCCUUACUGAAUUAAAGCUGGCAUGCCACAGGUUUUGUGGGAGCACUCCACACUGAGCACCGCCUUGGGUGGCACCUACAGACCAAUAUCUCGUGGCCAUUGCAAAGCCCCACACCAGAUCUACAGGCAUGGGUAAUGGGAGGUGGAAAAAAAUUAGCAGCCACUCACUUUUCCAAAAAUCAGCCAGCUUUGGCCAACUAAACACUACCCAAACUCGGGCAGGAGGAGAGCUCUGAGGUUUAUCAGACCAUCCCAGGCAAUUUCAUUGCAUUUAGGGCGUUGUUGAUGUUAGUCACCCCUCAGCCAUCUGCCUUUCAGUGAGAUUCAGGCUUGUAAGAUAUUUGGGUGCUUUUGGAAAGGUUACAUGCAGUCAAAAGCAGGCAGCCAAGGCUCCUGCACUCAGCCAGAGCUGGUGAGGCAGCUUAGCCUUAUGUCUUAACCCAGCAGCAGCAGUGCUUGGACAGACAUCAUUUCUGUUGUGCUUCUUGGCAGACAAGACUUCAGACAGAAUCUGGUUGUGAUUUAGUUUUGGUCUACAUGUUCAAUGCUCAGUCAAAAUUCUUGGGCAGCCAACACAACACAGAAACUGCCUUCAAUAGAAGAGAGAGUAAAUGCAAUGUUUUCAGUUUGAACAAUAUUUCAGUUGUUUUGUCAGUGGACCACAGCCAGUCAUGAACUGCUCCAAUUUGGUCCCAGACUGCAGACAGCUCUGGUUUGUCCACAUAAAGUGUAUUCAAUGAACUCACACUGCAAGUUGGCAGAAGGGGAACACCUCCAGCUCCUGUGUGUCACUGUUGCUUCUGGUGCUAUCAUGGGACUGCCAAACCCACCAGUGUUCCUGCUCUCUGACAGGCAAGCUCUGCAUCUGCAGCAGGAAAAAGUGUUUAACACAAGGGUUUUCCCAGCCCUGAUGACAAAGUUGUAACUCAAAAAACACAACAGUGCAUAUUGUGUUGGAAUUGACCUCCCUCCCCUCUCAUCCUUAGCUUUCUGUAUCUCCAUAUUUACAAGUCUCCCCUCCAUGGCACCCAGGUGCCAACUGCAGUCCCCAGUGUUUGGAAGUGACUAUUGAUAAAGUACGAAGACUGUGAUAUCUUGUAUGGGAAUUGACAGGUUUUGAAAUAAAAGAAGCCACAAGUAAAAUCGGUGUGUAAAU